GAUGAAGAACGCAGCGAAAUGCGAUAAGUAAUGUGAAUUGCAGAAUUCAGUGAAUCAUCGAAUCUUUGAACGCACAUUGCGCCCAUUAGUAUUCUAGUGGGCAUGCCUGUUCGAGCGUCAUUAAGUCCACUUAAGCCCUGCUUAGUGUUGGGAGACUGCUCCAGCGGUGCUACCCUGUAGCUACCCUGCAGCUCCUCAAAGACAGCGGCGGAGUUGUGGUAUCCUCUGAGCUUAGUAACUUGUUCUAGCUUUCGAGUACACCACUUCCCCUGCCGUAAAACCCUUAAUUUUUAAUGGUUGACCUCGGAUCAGGUAGGAAUGCCCGCUGAACUUAAGCAUAUCAAUAAGCGGAGGA
rnacentral:misc_RNA from 1 species